rnacentral:lncRNA from 1 species
GCAGUUGCCAGUGGUGACUAUAUAGCCCUUCACUGCCAUUGAGCUCUUUAUUUUGGGGGGACCGGGGGUGGUAUGUGCAUAUCUGGCUCUCUAUUUUAUUUUUAUACAAACGAUAGCAUAUACUGUUUGUCUUGCCCUCAGGUUUGGUUUCUGUUGCCGCUGUUGUUUUCUUUUCCAACAUCAUAAGCCUCUUCCUUAUCUUUCCAUGUCUGCACACAGGAAGCGGCAUCACUUGUUUUUCAUGUCCUGCGCAUCGAGGCACACUUUCUGCUCCUCUUUGUGCCGCCAGCCGGCCCAGGCCCACAGAUGGUAGGACUUGUGCCCCAGGCUGCUGUGUGAGUCAGAGUCAGGCAGGAAGCAAAUGGCAACUUCACCGCGGUGACUGAGGAAUGCUUAACGAAGGCGCCGCCCUUGACAACGGUGUGGGUUGGUAAAAGGAAACAGCCGGGAGCCCUGCAGCGCCGGUGCCGCCACCGUUUAGUCUGACUGUGCAUUUGACUAAGUCACAAGAGGCCAGGCCUGUGACUUGUCCGAGGGAAAAACCACCAGAAAACCAGGUGUCUGGGCUCCCAAUCAGUAAUCUUCAUUGGGUUUGCUUUGAUUGUAAACGAACAAAAAAAAAGCUUAGUUAUUUAAAUUCCAUUCAUGAAUCUAGGAAGGAGCUUAGAAAUUAGCCUUUUCCACAAUCAAGACCAAUUAGUCAACUCUUCUAUUGUAAGUUUUCAUCAUUUUUCUGUUUACCCAACUUACAAACUGCUUUUUAAGUCAGAACUUGAAGAUUUAUUCCUGGCAAAUGUUUUUAAGAGCAAAAAUUUGGAAUCAGUGUAAGUGUCCCCAAAUAGGAUAAUGGGAAAGUAAAUGAGGAUACAUCUACUCAGUGGAAAAUAUCUUAAACUGUUUGAAGUUUGCAAUAAAGUGGAAAAUGCUUAGCUGUUAUGUUCAAGAAAAAUUAUGAAGUCUAAUUUAUUUAGAGUGCCAUGAUAAUUAUGCUAAUUCAUAUAGGCACUGAAACAAAAAAAAAAACCCUAAAACUUACAUGAAGAAAAAUAGACUGGAGAGGAAGACACCAACAUGUUACUGAUAAUGAUUAUCAUUUUAUGGGUGAAAUGAGAUUGAUUUUUAUUCACUUCUCUCAACGUUUCCAAAUUUUCUCCAGUGGUCAUCUAAUACUUCCAGAACAACAACAGCAUUAACUACAAGAUCACAGUUCAAAGAAACAAGUCGCUGAGAUAAUUUGACAAGUGGUCUAUAUCCAGAGCCAUUAAUAUACCCACAACUUCUGACCCAGUCAUUUCUCUUAGGAAUCUGUCCUGAGGAAGUAGUUCAGCUUUCAGAAAAAGCCCUAGGCAGGGAGAUGUUUACUGCAGGGAAAAACUGGAAACCACGUAGAUGCCAAACACUGUAAAAAUAGUUAAAGAAAACGAGGUUCAGCCACUUGACACCACUACGUAUUCAUUAGGAAAGAAAAUGAUGACAAAAAGCAUGCACUGUGACACCAAAGACAAAACUCAGCAUUCACAAUUGAAUGUGCAGUAUGAUAAGAGGGUUUGUUUAUUUUUAUUUAUUUUUAUUUUUUAUUUU